rnacentral:tRNA from 1 species
GGUGAGAUGGCCGAGUGGUUGAAGGCGCAUGCCUGGAAAGUAUGUAUAUGGGAACAUAUCAGGGGUUCGAAUCCCCUUCUCACCG